rnacentral:rRNA from 1 species
UACGUAGGGUGCAAGCGUUGUCCGGAAUUAUUGGGCGUAAAGAGCUCGUAGGCGGUUUGUCGCGUCGGCUGUGAAAACUCAGGGCUCAACCCUGAGCCUGCAGUCGAUACGGGCAGACUAGAGUAUGGCAGGGGAGACUGGAAUUCCUGGUGUAGCGGUGAAAUGCGCAGAUAUCAGGAGGAACACCGGUGGCGAAGGCGGGUCUCUGGGCCAUAACUGACGCUGAGGAGCGAAAGCGUGGGGAGCGAACAGG